GUUCAUUUACAAAAUCAAAUAAACUUAUGUAAAAACAAAGUAUUUACAUGGAAGGACAUCGUUCUUAUUUUUAUAAUGUCGACAUAUUCACCAGUGUAGAAAUAGGACAACUCUGUCAUGUCUUGAUUUAUACUCUACUGGAGCUAAAAGUUGGCAUCUAUAUUAUUAUCAUUAUACCUUUUACACUGAGAGGGAUUUAUUUCUACACAGUAAGCGGAGAAGUUGAAAUAUGUCACAAACAUAUUUUAACUAACCUAAAGCUCCCUUCCAUGUAAAUAAAUAUUUUUACAUAAUUUUUUGAUUUUGUAAAUGGACAGUCUGGCGUGUUUAUUUUAAUGGCCUAUCAAUGUACACAGUAAUUUUUGUUUGUCCAAGGAGUCGAUAAGGCACUCGGCCAGAAAUGGAAACAAAAUUGAAGGAAGAAAAAAGAAUCAAUAAUAAUAAUAAUAAUAAUAAUAAUAAUAAUAAUAAUAAUAAUAAUAAUAAUAAUAAUAAUGAUAAUAAUAGUAAUGAUAAUAAUGCUAAAUGCUCUGAAGCAGUACCAGACAGUGGCUUUCGUGGCUUAUGAUCUUAACUGAUUGGCAGUGUUAUCAUGUACAUUGUUUUGUCUUGGUAUAAAAGAUGGGCUACAGCAAAUAUUCUACUCAAUACCACAGAUUUGCUUUUCAGUUGUUUGACCUUAACCAGUUGACCAUGUCCCUUAGUGGCUGACGAUGUGUGCAUCUCUGAUCAUGAGCAGAAGUAUUUGGGGAGCAUCAUAGCCAUGUGUUGAGAGGAAUCCUUUAGGGUUUGGAUAAUUCACCUUUGGAAACAUAGGUGUUUGGUUCAAAAUUCAACGAGGCUGAGAGGAAUGAGGACACAGACAUUCCUCUUUGAUAAAGCCUUCAUAGACUUUUUCAAGUUUCACUUGAAAAGGAAAUUGAAGGUGGAGAGGGAGGUGCUGUCCUCAAGUGAAUUUAUCAAAAAGUGAAUAAAAGUUGGGAACAUAGCAAGAGUGGAUCGUACAUGUAGAUCUGUGAGUCGAAGGAAAGGAGUUGGAAAGGCACUUGUCCUUGGUAUUCAGGGUGAUCUUGGAUGGUGGGGUUCCUCGAUUAUCCCUAGACGUCCUCCUGUAGCAGGAGGACCCCAUCACUGUAACAUUUUUUAUUAUUAUUCUGGAGAUGUACUUGCAUAGCGAGUGACUUUAUCUGAGACCGUGUGCUGGAACGAAAACAAUUGCAGCGUGGAAGGUGUUUACAAGCCAUUUAAGAAACACACAAAACCGUUAGAUUCACUUCAACAUUUAAAUUUAAUUUGUCAAAAUAUUUUCGUCGCUUUGAGACCGCGACCUGUUCACUGACAAAACUUCGUGCUGCACGAAUAUCCCGCUUCCCGAUCAAAACAGCGGUGACGGCGGUGCUUUCACAUUGGUCGCUGACUAUGCUCAGACAAGGGCAGGGCGGUCUGAUUACUUCAAGCAUCUGGAGGUCCUGGGAACUUCUCGGACUUAAGUAUUAGUAGGGGAUUGAAAUGCUCUCUUAGAUAGACGUUUCGAUUGCAUGGGAGUACCUGAUUGGAGAGGCAAGUGCAAAAGUCUCAAAAACUUGCUCACGCCUUUUCAGUUGUGUGACAGGAACCGACUAGAUUACCCGAAUGUGUAAAUGUUCUCUUGGACAAACCGCAUCGGGACAUCUAGAUCGUAUCUAGAUAGAGUAUUUUGUAGGCCAGUGGACAAGGAUAGGAUAGGGCGUCCACAAUUUUACAUGGUCGACUACACAGAUCACAAGUUUGUGAUCUGUACGGUCAACUUAGGUAGGCUUCAUAGACGGGGUUCCGGUUACUGGAAGCUGAACACGUCGUUACCAGCGUGUCAAGCUUACAGAGACCGGAUUAGCGAAUUAGUUAAGCGGGCGUUGACGGGUGCAAUCGUCAACAACAACUGGCGGUUUGUUCUUAAAAGGGCAAUUAGAGUAGAAUCGAUUAGGUUUAACAAGGCAUUAGCGGUAGAGAGAAAUAGAAUAGAGGAAGAUUUAGUUAGGAAGUUAGAUUGGCCAUCGACUAAUUUUUCGACGUCAAACACGAUGGCUGCGUUGUCAGAGCCAAGGCACGUUCACUGAGCGGGGAGGGACCGAACGUGUCACGAUAGUCCCGCGUGGCGGAGGCGAAAAGUGGCAAUAAAGCCACCAUUCGGUCUUUGGUGGACCAGAGCGGAUGCGUGGUGUUCGAGCCGAAACAGAUGUGUGUGGCUUUUCCGCGGCACUUUGCUCGACUGUUCGGGACGAAUGGUAGGACGGAUAAAAAGGCAGACUUCGAUGUCCACCUGGACGGCCUGCCACGACUCUCGAUGAGCGAAGCAGAGUGCUGCGAAAGGCUGAUAACAGCUGCGGAGAUACAGGAAGCGAUGAAGAGUUGCACGAGUUUGGAUGGUCUGCCCUACGAGUUUUAUACUUCGAUGCCAGACUUGUUUGCGGGCCUCUUAGUAACCGUCUACUGCAACUGACAGCAAAAUAGGAGAAUUCCCACUUUUGUCUGUCGUGGGGUAGUGGCAUUGCUGAGAAAGGACCCAAACAAGGGGGGACAUUAUAAAUAAUUUCUGGCCAUCACUCUGCUCCAUGCAGAGUUGAAGAUUUUGGCCAAGGUGUUAGCCAAGAGGUUGGUGCUUGUGGACAAACUGGUUGGCGAGGCACAAACGUGCGCCUUCUCAACCAGGAGUGUUCACGAUAACCUACAUCUUCUGCGCUACAUCAUUAGAGAGGGUGGGUAACGAAGCUGGCAUGGGUGGGGCUCUGAUCAAUUUAGAUCAAUCUAAAGCUUUGGGCGGAUGUCCUCAGGGCAGCCGGUUUCGGUUCAGUUUUCCGUAGUUGGAUCGCUGCUUCGUACAGCAGCAUCUACUCGGUUGUUCGGGUGAAUGGUCACCUCGCGGAGCCAUUCAGCAUCUUGCGUUCUGUUCAUCAAGUGUGCCCUCUCUCUUCCCCAUCUCUAUGUAGUGACUCUUGAACCAUUACUGCGGAAGCUGGAGGCUUUGAGGGGUGUCCCACAUGAUCUAGGAUGUAGGAGAGGGGUGUCUGCUUACGCUGAUGAUGUCGCCGUCAUAGUGUCGAACCACAGGCAUAUAGACCUGAUUGGCGAAACACUACAAGAAUAUGAAGCGGUGACAGGAGCUAAAAUUAACACGGAAAUGUCAGUGGGCUUGCAAUUCGGCACCUGGAGAGGCAAGCUCAUGCCGUCCAACAGCGUGAUGGGGCACUGGACAGACGGUCCCGUUAAGUUGCUCGGGGUUUGGUUUAGUCCGGUGUCCCAGAUGUAGAUGAACUGGGACGAGGUGACGAGCAGGGUAGCCAAUCUCACCCAGAAAUGGGCCGAGAGAAAGCUGUCUCUGAAAGGUCGAAUGGAGACGGCGAAUGCGUACAUCGUAUCCGUUAUCUAUUACCGCUUGACUGUCGUCCCUUGCCCUGUUUGCUAGUUAACCAAGCUGGUACUCUUACUCUUCCGAUUUCUGAGGAAGGGGCGCGUUCCACUGGUCAGGCGCUCCAUCUACUAUCAACAGUCGCCGAAUGAAAGGCUGGGUAGGUUGCAGCUUCUCCAGAGUUUCCUUAGCGGUGAUCAGAUGUGGUCCCCGUUUGUAAGACACACUUUUCCACAGCUCGUCUCUUUGACUGAGUUGUAAUCCUGGAUUAGGCGUAGAGCGAGGAGGGCCGCUUGGCAUCUUGAGUACCGUCAAGUGCUCACAGCCCACCGCCAGGCGGGCAACGGUCGUUGGUAAUUCUAAUCUAGCGUUCUUUAGCGGGCUUGUGGAUGGAAAGUCCAACGACAUCCUCAGGGAAAAUCUGGAUGUCGAUGAAGAUCAACUAACCGGUCUGUUUCGGAGAACAUUCGGGCCUGGGACUAUGGAUAACUUCCAGAAAUCCCUUGCCCAGUAGUGUUACCGAGGGCGCUGCCUGUUCGAGAUAAAUUUUACAGGCACAGAAGUUCUGUCAGCCUGGCCUGCCCGAGGUGCACUCAGAACGAUGAAACCGUUCUACACUCCCUAGUCUAGUGCCCGAGUAUUGCUGGCCUGUGGGUUUAUGUCAAAUUCCUGCUGUCACGUGUAGGACGGAUCCGGCUAUCAGCUGAAUACGUUGUUAAGAUUGCCCCCCCCCGCCCUCUUUUGGCCGGGUGGGUAAGGCAAUUUUUAUUUGCCUAGUGGCUGUAGCAAAAGAGGUUGUAUGGUGGACCCGUUUGAAAGGGCUAAAGACACAUAUAUAUAUAUACAUAAAAUGAGGAUAAAAAUCAUGUUAAUGACAAUUAUCAGCACACACAGUGGAUCUAGUUAAACUGAUUCACAAAAUUUGCAUUUUUUUAAAAGAAGGUGAAAUAUCUGAAAAUCGGCUUUAUUAAUGUAGUUUUCCACUCUUAUUGCUAUGAACAUUGCUAUAUGUUGUGAAGAAAAAAUUGGCAGAAAAGUUACAGAGAUUUAAAAAUCGAACCAACUGUGUAUUGUAUUUUUAGCCAAUAGCGAGACAGAAAUUUUCUGCGUUUAGCGGCGUCAACUUUAAAGUUGUACCAUGUGAAAUUUAUAGUUUAGCAUCUAUUCAUUGUAGAAAUACCCAAUAAAAAACAGAAAUAGCUAAGAAAUCAACAUAUAUCACCUUACUGUUCCUUUUGUCUUUUCAUUGGUUUUUAUAGUGUUUUGCAUGCUUUUAUUAAUUUUUUAAAAUUUGUGAUAUUAAUAAUUUAUUAAUUUUAUAUAUCAUGCAUAUUUCAGUAAUAUGUAAACCUGUCAUGUAUUUGUGUACAUCAUUAAUAUAUAAGUGGAUGUGGAUAUCAGGAAUGGAAUGUCAGGAAUGUCUGGAAUGCCUGGAAUAUCAGAAAUAUCGGGAAUGUCUGGAAUGUCAUGAAUUGGAAUGUCUGGAAUUUCAUAAAUGUAUGGAAUGUCAGGAAUGACUGGAAUGACUGUCGGCACUCCUCUUUGAUUUCUGUAGGCAACCUCCUUGAUCUCUGUCGGCACUCCUCAUUGAUCUCUGUCGGCAACCUCUUUGAUCUCUGUCGGCACUCCUCAUGGAUCUCUGUCGGCACUCCUCUUUGAUCUCUGCCGACAAACUUUUUGAUCUCUGUCGGCACUCAUCUUUGAUCUCUGUCGGCACAACUCUUUGAUAUCUGUCGGCACCCUCUUUGAUCUAUGUCGGCACCCUCUUUCAUCUCUAUCGGCACCCUCUUUGAUAUCUGUCGACACUCCUCUUUGAUCUCUGUCGGCACUCCUCUUUCAUCUCUGUCGACACUCCUCUUUGAUCUCUGUCGGCACCCUCUUUGAUCACUAUCGGCACUCCUCUUUGAUCUCUGUCGACACUCCUCUUUCAUCUCUGUCGGCACCCUCUUUGAUAUCUGUCGGCACUCCCCUUUGAUCUCUAUCGACACUCAUCUUCGAUCUCUGUCAGAAGUCAUCUUUGAUCUAUGUCGGCACUCCUCUUUGAUCUCUGUCGGCACUCCACUUUAACCUCUAUCGCCACUCCUCUUUGAUCUCUGUCGGCACUCCUCUUUGAUGUCUGUCGUCACCCUCUUUGAUCUCUGUCGAUACCCUCUUUGAUCUAUGUCAGCACCUUCUUUGAUCUCUGUCGGCAGCCUCUUUGAUCUAUGUCGGCACUCCACUUUGACCUCUAUCGACACUCCUCUUUGAUCUCUGUCGGCACCCUCUUUGAUCUCUGUCGGCACUCGUCUUUGACCUAUCUCGGCACCCUCUUUGAUGUCUGCCGGUACCCUCUUUGAUCUCUGUCGGCACCAUCUUUGAUCUAUGCCGGCACUCCUUUUUGAUCUCUAUCGGCACUCCUCUUUGAUCUCUGUCGGUACCAUCUUCGAUCUCUGUCUGCACCCUCUUUGAUAUCUGUCGGCACCCUGUUUGAUCUCUGUCGGCACCCUCUUUGAUCUCUGUCGGCACUCCACUGUAACCUCUAUCACCACUCCUCUUUGAUCUCUGUCGGCACUCCUCUUUGAUCUCUGUUUGCACGCUCUUUGAUGUCUGUCGGUACUCUCUUUGAUCUCUGUCGGCACUCCUCUUUGAUCUCUGUCGGCACUCCACUUUGAUCUCUGUCGGCACACCUCUUUGAUAUCUGUCGGCACUCCUCUUUGAUCUAUGCCGGCACACCUUUUUGAUCUCUAUCGGCACUCCUCUUUGAUCUCUGUCGGUACCAUCUUUGAUCUCUGUCCGCACCCUCUUUGAUGUCUGUCGACACCCUGUUUGAUCUCUGUCGGUACCCUCUUUGAUCUCUGUCGGCACUCCACUUUGACCUAUAUCGGUACUCCUCUUUGAUCUCUGUCGGCACUCCACUUUGAUCUCUGUCGGCACACCUCUUUGAUCUCUGUCGGCACUCCACUUUGAUCUCUGUCGGCACACCUCUUUGAUCUCUGUCGGCACCCUCUUUGAUCUCUAUCGGCACCCCUCUUUGAUCUCUGUCGUCACUCCUCUUUGAUCUCUGUCGGCACUCCUCUUUGAUCUCUGUCGGCACUCCUCUUUGAUCUCUGUCGGCACCCUCUUUGAUCUCUGUCGACACUCCUCUUUGAUCUCUGUCGGCACUCCUCUUUGAUCUCUGUCGGCACCCUCUUUGAUCUCUGUCGGCACCCCUCUUUGAUCUCUGUUGUCACUCCUCUUUGAUCUCUGUCGGCACUCCUCUUUGAUAUCUGUCGACACUCCUCUUUGAUCUCUGUCGGCACUCCUCUUUGAUCUCUGUCGGCACUCCUCUUUGAUCUAUGUCGGCACCCCUCUUUGAUCUCUGUCGUCACUCCUCUUUGAUCUCUCUCGGCACUCCUCUUUGAUCUCUGUCGGCAAUCCUCUUUGAUCUCUGCCGGCACUCCUCUUUGAUCUAUGUCGGCACUCCUCUUUGAUCUCUGUCGGCACCCUCUUUGAUCUCUGUCGGCACCCUCUUUGAUCUCUGUCGGCACCCCUCUUUGAUCUCUGUCGUCACUCCUCUUUGAUCUAUGUCGGCACCCUCUUUGAUCUCUGUCGGCACCCUCUUUGAUCUCUGUCGGCACCCCUCUUUGAUCUCUGUCGUCACUCCUCUUUGAUCUCUGUCGGCACUCCUCUUUGAUCUCUGUCGUCACUCCUCUUUGAUCUCUGUCGGCACCCUCUUUGAUCUCUGUCGGCACUCCUCUUUGAUCUCUGUCGGCACUCCUCUUUGAUCUCUGUCGGCCCCCCUCUUUGAUCUCUGUCGUCACUCCUCUUUGAUCUCUGUCGACACUCCUCUUUGAUCUCUGUCGUCACUCCUCUUUGAUCUCUGUCGGCACUCCUCUUUGAUCUCUGUCGGCACUCCUCUUUGAUCUCUGUCGGCACUCCACUUUAACCUCUAUCGCCACUCCUCUUUGAUCUCUGUCGGCACUCCUCUUUCAUCUCUGUCGGCACCCUCUUUGAUGUCUGUCGGUACUCUCUUUGAUCUAUGUUUGCACCCUCUUUGGUCUCUGUCGGCACUCCUCUUUGAUCUCUGUCGGCACUCCUCUUUGUUCUCUGUCGGCACUCCUCUUUGAUCUCUGUCGGCACUCCACUUUAACCUCUAUCGCCACUCCUCUUUGAUCUCUGUCGGCACUCCUCUUUGAUCUCUGUCGGCACCCUCUUUGAUGUCUGUCGACACUCUUUGAUCUCUGUUUGCACCCUCUUUGAUCUCUGUCGGCACUCCUCUUUGAUCUCUGUCGGCACUCCUCUUUGAUCUCUGUCGGCACUCUCUUUGAUCUCUGUCGGCACUCUUCUUUGAUCUCUGUCGGCACUCCUCUUUGAUCUCUGUCGGCACCCUCUUUGAUCUCUGUCGGCUCCCCUCUUUGAUCUCUGUCGUCACUCCUCUUUUAUCUCUGUCGGCACUCCUCUUUGAUCUCUGUCGUCACUCCUCUUUGAUCUCUGUCGGCACUCCUCUUUCAUCUCUGUCGGCACCCUCUUUGAUCUCUGUCGGCACUCCUCUUUGAUCUCUCUCGGCACCCUCUUUGAUCUCUGUCGACACUCCUCUUUGAUCUCUGUCGGCACCCUCUUUGAUCUCUGUCGGCACUCCUCUUUGAUCUCUGUCGGCACUCCUCUUUGAUCUCUGUCGGCACUCCUCUUUGAUCUCUGUCGGCACUCCACUUUAACCUCUAUCGCCACUCCUCUUUGAUCUCUGUCGGCACUCCUCUUUGAUCUCUGUCGGCACCCUCUUUGAUGUCUGUCGACACUCUUUGAUCUCUGUUUGCACCCUCUUUGAUCUCUGUCGGCACUCCUCUUUGAUCUCUGUCGGCACUCCUCUUUGAUCUCUGUCGGCACUCUCUUUGAUCUCUGUCGGCACUCUUCUUUGAUCUCUGUCGGCACUCCUCUUUGAUCUCUGUCGGCACCCUCUUUGAUCUCUGUCGGCUCCCCUCUUUGAUCUCUGUCGUCACUCCUCUUUUAUCUCUGUCGGCACUCCUCUUUGAUCUCUGUCGUCACUCCUCUUUGAUCUCUGUCGGCACUCCUCUUUCAUCUCUGUCGGCACCCUCUUUGAUCUCUGUCGGCACUCCUCUUUGAUCUCUCUCGGCACCCUCUUUGAUCUCUGUCGACACUCCUCUUUGAUCUCUGUCGGCACCCUCUUUGAUCUCUGUCGGCACCCCUCUUUGAUCUCUGUCGUCACUCCUCUUUGAUCUCUGUCGGCACUCCUCUUUGAUCUCUGUCGGCACUCCACUUUAGCCUCUAUCGCCACUCCUCUUUGAUCUCUGUCGGCACUCCUCUUUCAUCUCUGUCGGCACCCUCUUUGAUGUCUGUCGGCACUCUCUUUGAUCUUUGUUUGCACCCUCUUUGAUCUCUGUCGGCACUCCUCUUUGAUCUCUGUCGGCACUCCUCUUUGAUCUCUGUCGGCACCCUCUUUGAUCUCUGUCGGCACUCUUCUUUGAUCUCUGUCGGUAUCCUCUUUGAUCUCUGUCGGCCGGUUGGGUAAGGCAAUUUUUAUUUGUCUUGUGGCUGUAGCGAAAGAGGUUGUAUGGUGGACCCGUUUGAAAGGGCUAAAGACAUUUCCUUUCCUCUUUGUCCAAGCCCUCAUCAACUUUUUCAAGUUUCACUUGAAAAGAAAGCUGAGGGUAGAAAGGAAAGUGUUGCCUUGUAGCAAGUUCGUUGAAAGAUGGGUGAAUGUUGAGAAAAUGGCCAGUGUGAAAGGACCAAUUCUGAGCGUGCACCUGUACAAAAAGGAGAAGGGCUCUUGCCUUGUUGUUCAGGCACCCGUGACAUUUGUGGGUUUUUCACGAGGUCCUUAGUGUUCCUCCUUUAUUGGGAGUUUUAAAUUGUUUAAUUUUUAAUCGUUAUAUAUACUGUUUACACGUUGUAAAACCCAUUGUAUCCUGUUUUUGCCUUUUAUGUUGUAUGUCUCUUAAUGUAAUUUUAUGUAAGCCCUUGUGGCCAAUAAACGAAUUUAUUAUUAUUAUUAUUAUUAUUAUUAUUAUUAUUAUUAUUAUUAUUAUUAUUAUUAUUAUUAUAUGUUUGACUUUUGCUUUGUAUUUCUGCAAGUUGGCUCCAAGUCUCACCCAGCGAUCCCAGGAGACAACACAGUUAUAAGUUCAUGUUGGUGUUAUGCCUGUGGUGUCAUAUAUUUGGUUUUGAUCGUAGCCUUGUACUAGAGAAUGUUUAAGAAUACAAAAGAAAAUCAUGGGUUUAUCUUAAAAUUUGAGAUUACAUAGACAGUAUUUUACGUAGGACAUGGGCAGUUCCUACGAGCACUAUCUUUUGAAUUUCUGCCAUUUUGGGGUUUCCUGGUAUUUGAAGCAGAUAAUCAGCCUCUUUUGCUAUCAUUCCUAGGGCACCUAUGACAACAGGUAUUGAGGUUCCACAUUUUGGCAAUUUCUAUUUCAAGAUCUUUAUACUCGCUCAGCUUUCGGUAGGUCCUGACAGAUACGUUUAUAUCGAUUGGGACAGUCAUAUCAAUGAGGAGGCAUUAUUUUUGCUAGCUGUUCUUUAAUUUAGCCUGCUUCCACUCGUCCAAUUUACUUAUAUCUUUCCCUAUAUCUGCCUUUUCCGUCUUCAUUAGUAUCUACCUAUUCCAUCAGGACACCUGCUGGUCCUUCUUUUGCUCUUUCUUUUCUCCUAACAGUUCUGCAACUAUGUUAGCAUUUGCUGAUAUCAGUGUGUUGAUACCUCUAAUAUUUUCACUGAAAAUCUUAUCAAUCACACUGAGACUCACUAUUCUCAGAUUCACCGACAAUAGAGCUCUCGGUUUCUUUAAUUUCUGUCUGUUUUUCAAGGAUUUUUAGUUGGUCUUCACCAAGAUUAUGCCCACCAAAUUAUCAAAUUCCCUUUCUUCUUGCACGCUUCUUUUUGCCCUUGUUUCAAAUGCCAGCACUGAAUUCUCCUGGCUGGCUACUAUGAUUACACUCUCUUGAUUCUCAGACGAGUUGUAGUCAUCCACCUAGUUUUGAUAUGUUGAUUCUUGCAGUUUCCUGUUUGACAUUUUUCUGUAUUUCUUCAAUUUCUAAGUCAAGAAGGUAUUUUUCAUUUCUAAUACACAAUACUUUGCCUAUUAACUGUUCUUCAUUGAGUUUUGAUACUCACACCUCAGAUCCGAAUGUUCAGCAUACUUUGCUCGAAUCCUCGCUUUUUUGGGACACUUCUUAGAUACCAUUCCAUUGCUUUUUAUUUCUUUUUUCCUCUUAACUUUCUGUACAGCAGUAAUUGGAUGAUGACUAGGUCUACACAGCUGCUCUACAGAACACUUAUUAGCCUACACCAAGGGUUUCAGAUUAGAUUUAUUUUGAUAGAGGAUAGAGGAAACUAUUACAGCUUACUUUGGGUGAUUCUAUUAAAAGAAACCAGUAAAUCGUUGGAUUCUUCUAACGAUUUACUGGUUUCUUUUAACCAAUAAGCAAAUGAAAGCCAAGGAGGAGAACCUACGUCUGACAUUCUUGAAAUAACAGCCAAUACGCCCUCAAAUCACUUUACUGUCUUUCAAGAAGGACACAUUCAAUACUCUGUUCUUAAUUUCACUAUAUCUGAGAAAAAAUAGGAUGUCCAUGGUUGGAACACCUUUGAUCAUAUGUCAGCUUGAUAAGAUUGACCUGGGAGUUAAUCAACCACCACAAAAAUAAGCCUAUAACACAAGAUAGUGAAGUAAAUGCGAUUUUUACUUUCGAAAAGUUCGCCAGAGGGUCAGUAUAAAAUGUCGUCGAUAAAUUAAUCCAAAGACACUGUAGAAGAAAUAUGGUGAUACAGCAACAUCGCAAUACUUUGACAUUUCAAAGAAAGACUCAUGGCAAAGAUUUGAACAUUGGAAGUCUGCUAGUUAAUAGAGUUCCAAUGUUUAAAUCUUUGCUAUGAGUCUUUCUUUGAAGUGUCAAAGUUUGUAGCAAUUCCAGUUUUGUAGAUAUUCUUGUUAAUACAUAUGGUUUUUCUCUAAAUUUAAUGAGCAAUUAUAUUAAUUAAUUUGAUGCAAACAAGUGUGUUUGCCAACAAAUCCUUUGGUAUUUGAACACUGAAAUAGGUUUGGCAUUAUUUCACUGUUGUUAGUAUAUUCAUGAUGGUUUGUUAACUCUUAAAGAAUGUAUCAUACACACCUUUGUUGUCAAACGUCAACCUACACCUGUAUAAAACCAACAGUUUCACACCCAUAAUAUUGGCUUCUCGUUGUUUUCGCUUACAUUUACUCCUUUAAAACACUGCUUAAAAUACGUAACUGUCACAAACAAAUGAACUCCUGUAGAUAACGGACCAUGAAAUGUAGCCACCGAAUACCACCAUUUUUUUCCGUAAUGCCUCCGGUUCUUGAAUUUUGAUAUCUGUUCUUCGCUCCAAAAGUCAAAUUAAAUUUCGUUUCUGAUUUUUUUUUUCCCAAAUAAAUCAAAAUUUAAUAAUGUCAACACAAAAGUCAGUAUACCUGUGGAAAAAUAUUCUUGUUCUGGUGGUUGCAUUCACCGUUUUCACUUUGGUAUUUUCUUUUCCAAGAAGUCAAAACAGAAGGUUUCAGGUAUGUAAUACUUAAAUAUUUUUCGUGUUUUUUCUUCCACUUAUUUCUAUUGAUUCUACUCAUUAAAGCACUCUGAAUAACUAACAAGUAUUUCCUCUUGUGAUAGUUUAUUCCGAUCAAUUGAGUUUCGUUGGCGUCAUUUACUGACUAUCAUCAAACGUUCCUAUUCUUCACAAACUAAAUUCUACUUAGAAGAUUUUCAGACAGCAAUUCCUCCAGCAGACAGAACGUCUUACAAUCAUUCCAAUAUUAGUUUCCUGUAAAAAUCUUUACAUCUUCUAACCUGUAUUAAAUGUUACUCCACUUCGAUAUCUUCUCCAUGAACAAAAUUUCUCCAUGGACAAAAUUUAUUAAUUCUAAUUAAUAUAGGCGCAGGAGAGGCUGUGUAGUAAGUGGCUUGCUUAUCAGCCACAUGGUUCCGGAUUCAGUCCCACUGCGUGGCAUCUUGAGCAAGUGUUGUCUACUAUAGCCUCGGGCCGACCAAAGCCUUGUGAGUGGAUUUGGUAGACAGAAACUGAAAGAAGCCUAUCGUAUAUAUAUAUGUGUGUGUGUGUGUGUGUGUGUGUGUGUGUGUGUGUGUGUGUGUGUGUGUGUGCGUGUGUUUGUGCAUCUGUGUUUGACCCCCCCACCACCACCACCACCGCUUGACAACCGAUGUUGAUGUGUUUACGUCCCCUUAACCUAGCGGUUAGGCAUAAGGGACCCUUAGAAUAAGUACUAGGCUUACAGAGAAUAAGUCCUGGGGUCGAUUUGUUCGACUAAAGGCGGUAUUCCAGCAUGGCCGCAGUCAACUGAAACAAAUAAAAGAAUUAAAAAAAUUUUUAAUAACUCAUCAAGCAGUAAUUUGUCUCACAUCGAACUGUUGAUUAGCUAUCACUUUAGAGACAUCUAUUAUCUUUCUUAACAUCAUUUCAUAAAGUGCUAACGGUAUUUUUAGUGUGGGUAGCGGGGAAGAAAACUAUUUUCUGUUCAUAUUACGCUUUUUUCGGGGACAAUUGAGUUUCACGUAUUUUGACGAAUCAUAUUGUUGGAAAGAAAAUCCAAUAAGUCGAUGUAAACGUCUAAGAUUACCAGAAACUAUCAGUUGAAAAUAUACACCAAAAAUGUUUCAGUGCCAUGUAAUUUCAGACCUGAUAUCAGAAUCAGUGCCUCAAAAUAUGGUAUCACCCGUCAGUGUUUUUCAGUUUUAAUUACUGCUUGUUUCUAAGGAGCACAGAUCUAUGAGAUCGCCACGUCAUCUCUGCAAAAGAUCUGAUAUGAAAAAACUACCACCGUCCCAAAACAUGUGUGCGUGCGCAUAUGUGUGCGUGCGCAUAUGUGUGCGUGCGCAUAUGUGUGCGCGCGGAGCGCGUGUGUGUGUUUGUGUGUACAUAUAUCUGUACACACGAACAUAUCUUUUAUCUUUUCUUUUAUCCUUUAAUUGUUUCGGUCAUUAAAUUGCGGCCGCCUUCAAGAGUUUUUGAUUUAGUUGAAUGAAUUGACACCAGUACUUAUUCUUUUAAAGACUGUUACUUUUGCUGAACCGCUAAGUUACGGAGAUACAUCAACAUCAGAUAUCAAGCGGUGGUGGGACACACACACGCACACACACACUCUCUCUCUCUCUCUCUCUCUCUCUUUCUUUCUCUCUCUCUCUCUCUCUCUUUCUUUCUCUCUCUCUCUCUCUCUCUUUCUUUCUCUCUCUCUCUCUCUCACCCUCACACACACACUAUAUAUAUAUAUAUAUAUAUAUAUAUAUAUAUAUAUAUAUAUAUAUAUAUAUAUAUAUAUAUAAUCAGCCGAAAUUGCUAGGAUGAUCCGGUUCUUGACUGAAGAUUGAAGGCUUCGAAUGUCCCGUCCGUGUCUUUUGUAUCGUCUUCUAAAUGUUUUACGUUCUUGUCCCAGUUUGUAUUUUUCUACAUAUAAUAUAUAUAUAUAUAUAUAUAUAUAUAUAUAUAUAUAUAUAUAUAUAUAUAUAUAUAUAUAUACCCAAAACAAACCGGAACUUUGCAAUAUUAUUUUAUUCCCUUAGCUUUACAUGUUUACACUUUUAUCACCUUCAAAGUAUUCUCCAUUUGGAGUAAUGCAUCGGUCCAGGCACGUUUUCCACUAUUCGAGGUGUUGGAACUCUCGCGAAGUGAUGCCUUUUAAUGCUUCCGUAGUUUUUUUUUCACCUUUUCCACAUCUGCAAAUUCCACAGCAUCAGCUUCCGUCACCAGUGAUAAACUUCGAAAAAAAGGUCCGGAUCAACUUCCAGCUGUUCUUUCAGUUCACGACGCGCAUUCAGUCAUGACUGCUUUAAUCAUCCAUGAGCAAGCGAGACACAAAUUUUGCUGCAACUCUUUUCAUUCACAAUUCCUCGCUUAAAAUUCGUUGGCAGGAGCUCCAGGACACACCAGUCAAAUCAACAAGUUCAUCAAUUGUUCGGUGACGGUCCUCCAAGACCACUUCAUGAAUUUUCAUGAUGCUUUCAUUCCUUUGGGAGGUCGACGGUCGCCCUGAAUGAGGUUGGUCUUCAAGCGACAAUUGACCAUUUCUAAAGCGUAGAAACCACUCGUAAACUUGUGUUUUGCUCAUGACAGCGUCCUUGUAAGCCGUUUGAAGGAUGACGACCAUUUGGCUACCGUUUUCCCCAGCAGCAAACAGAAUUUCGCAGAAGCACACUGUUCCAUCGUUUCAGCCAUUGCAAAAAUCGAUGAACAGGGGAGAAGCACUACCAAACACAGACGUACCACGUGGCUGUACGACUUCACUCGGCGACACCGGUCGGCGGACUGAUGCCUGAGGGGCGCAUCAAGUGGCUUCUAGCAGCGGAAGCCUGAACCAUAACAUGUUUUUACCAUAGAGAACGUUUCCGGUUACUUUUGGGUACCCCCUUGUAUAUAUAUGUAUAUGCGUGUGUGUGUGACGAGAGCCAGUCGUAGAAUCACACAAAAAAUAUGCUCGUACUGCGGAUUUUAAAUAAUUAUAAAUUAUUUUAAAUCUCCUUGAUUGUAAGAUUCAUGUAUUCAUCUGGAGAAAACGUUUUUUUAAUGACAUAAUAUACACAUUGAUCAAUUGAAAAUUUCGUUAGAAAUGUCUGUAAAGGAUUGACACCUACCCAUCAAUUGUUUUUUAUAUAUAUAUAUAUAUAUAUAUAUAUAUAUAUAUAUAUAUAUAUAUAUAUAUAUAUAUAUAUAUAUAUAUAUAUAUUUAAUUCGAGGAAGUCAUAUCCUCAUUAGGGAUUAUAUAAUCCAAGAUGUUCCACUGGUUUAAUCCGUAUCGUAUAAUGCAAGAGUCAUUGGUAUAUACUCUUUUACACUUUUAUUUGUUUCAGUCAUUUGACAGCGGCCAUGCUGGAGCACCGCCUUUAGACGAACCGCUAGGUUACUGGGACGUAGACACACCAACACCGGUUGUCAAUCGAUGGUAGGGGACAAACGCAAACAUUCAUAUAUAUAUAUAUAUAUAUAUAUAUAUAUAUAUAUAUAUAUAUAUAUAUAUAUAUAUAUAUAUAUAUACGACGGGCUUCUUUCAGUUUCUGUCUAUCAAAUCCACUCAUAAGGCUUUUGUCGGCCUGAGGCUAUAGCAGUAGACACUUGCCUAAGGUGCCAGGCAGUGGGACUGAACCCAGAACCAUGUGGCUACCGUUUUCCCCAGCAGCAAACAGAAUUUUGAAAUUAUCAAUAUUGGAGAAAACAAGAAGGAAAUGUAGAAUAAAUGGAUGUAAUUUGUAUGUUACAAAAAGACGGCAUUUAAAAAAAUAUAAUUACAAAUAAAUUAAUUAGAAAUUGAAAGCUCAAAGAAAAAUUAAAAUAAUAAUAAAAAAAAUAACCUACAUACAUAUUUCAGUCCUUUCAUCUAGUUGGUGGGAAUUUCGAAGCAUUUGGUUUAAUGCUAAGAAAAUUACCACAUUCAAACUAUAUUGUGGUAGGAGUAUAUGGUGGUAAAGAUAUUCUAUGCUUUACAGGAAAGAAAGGUUCGGUUUUAUCUUCAAUAGCAUAUUCAGUCACAAUUUUUUUGGCUCUUAAUUGGUUAUUGGUGACUACCUUGUAUUUUUUGGUGAUUUCAUUUGUAAGCAGUUCAUAGUAUAGAUCUAUACCAUUUACGUACCCUAAUCAGUGAUCGUCGAUAAGAAAGGUUUACUAGAUAUGCAUUAUAACGGAUAUUUUUCAAAUUUCCAUUCAUCCUCCAUCAAUAUCAUGUCAUAUAUAUAUAUAUAUAUAUAUAUAUAUAUAUAUAUAUAUAUAUAUAUAUAUAUAUAUAUAUAUAUAUAUAUAUAUAUAUAUAUAUAUAUAUAUAUAUAUAUAUAUAUAUAUAUCACUAUAACAAUAAGAAUAGUCCGUAGUUCUUAUUUUUAGUAUAUUUUAUUUUAUUUAUUGUAUUUCAUUUAUAUGUUAUGUUUUAAUGUUUUUACUGUCAUUUUUAUUUUAUUUUAUCUUUAGCUUGAUUUUAACUUUUAUCCAUACUUUAUUUCUCUAUUUAUUUAUCUGUUUUCAAAUUAUAAUAUAUCGUAUAUAUAGUAUAUUCAUAAAUAUUUAAAACCCAUCAAUCAGAUACACUUUCAAUAUAUAGAUUUUAACUUUUAACCCACUAAUACUUUAUGCUUUCCUGAAAAGACAAAAAAGGAUUACCUAAAGUACAUGAGCUCUAUUUUAACCCUGAAGAAGUCCUACCACCAUAUAGUUAGAAUGUGGAAUGCUUCGAAAUUCCCACCAACUAGAUGAAAGGACUGAAAUAUGUAUGUAGGUUCUUUUUCCUUUUUUAUUUUAAUUUAUUUUUCUUUGAGCUUUCAAGUUCUAAUCAAUUUAUUUGUACAGUUUUAUUUUAAAUAUCAUCUUUUUGUAACAUGCAAAUAAAUUAUAAAUUAUUAAUUAUAUCCAUUUAUUUCUCCAUUUCCUUUUUGUUUUCCCCCAAUAUAUAUAUAUAUAUAUAUAUAUAUAUAUAUCACACACACACAUAUAUAUAUAUAUAUAUAUAUAUAUAUAUACGACACGACGAGCUUCUUUCAGUUUUCGUCUGCGAAAUCUAUUCAUAAGGCUACAACAGGAGACACUUACUCAAGGUGCUACACUGUGGGACUGAACCCGGAACUAUGUGGUUAAGAAGCAAAUUUCUUACCACACAGCUACGCCUAAUGGUAAUCUUUUCAUUUCUCAAAACCUCAAGUUUUUACCAUCUCGUAGAUAAGAAUUCACAUACGCACAGUUUUGUAUGUGGUGCUGCGUGUGUGUGUAUGUGCGUGCGUGCGUGCGUAUGUACGUGCGUAUGUGUGUGUGUGUGUGUGUGUGUGUGUGUGUGUGUGUGUGUGUGUGUGUGUGUGUGUGUGUGUGUGUGUGUGUGUGUGUGUGUGUGUAGUGUUAGGAUUCUUUUAUACCACAUAUUUAAGAUUUACCAGUUCGGAAUGAAAUGAAAGGAUUUCUAUGAAAUGGAAAAAGAAAAUAUUUCAAGACUAAAUUUUGUAUUUUAAAACUCAUUUAAUUGUUCCUUUGAUGUCGUCCCAAAAUUACCAACCCACUGCUAAUUCUUCUUUAAUUGAAAUUCCCACCACUUCCACUAUCACCACCACCACCACCACCGUUAUCUCUUCCUGUCUGUAACCAUGUUCUGCUUGAUUCAGUGUUAGUACAAAGUGGACAGGUUGGUAUCUAUCUAACAGACCCACAUGACAGUCUUGCCCACCCUUGUAUAAAUGACAGACCCUUCCACUCCUCACCACCCAUUUGUCUUUCACUUUCUCUCCCUUUUAACCCAUAAAACUGAUUUCUCGUGUAUUUACAGAUAAACACAUCCUGGCAACAACAACAACAACAACGUCAA
rnacentral:lncRNA from 1 species